GGUACCUCUGUGCGGGGUGGCGGGGUGAUACAGAGGGUGGGGGCGUUGUGCGGAAUAACUGGGCGUAAAGGGGGCGUAGGCGGUGGGGGAAGCGUGUGGUGAAAGCUCGGGGCUCAACUCCGAGUCGGCCAUGCGAACUGCUUCACUGGAGCACACUAGAGGCGGAUGGAAUUCCGGGUGUAGCGGUGGAAUGCGUAGAGAUCCGGAAGAACACCGGUGGCGAAGGCGGUCCGCUGGGGUGUAGCUGACGCUGAGGCGCGACAGCGUGGGGAGCAAACAGGAUUAGAUACCCAGGUAGUC
rnacentral:rRNA from 1 species